AUUCGAUUUGGUGUGUUUUCUAAUAACGUGUGUGUGUGUGGUAAACCGGUGUGCUGUGUGUGUUUUGAGCAGCAGACUGAUGCCUCAGUGGUGUACGCCACUCUCCACAUGGGGCUGGACGGGCUUCUAUCCUCUUCAGCGUGGUCGGAGGCUGCCUCCUUCUCUACUCCCACCACUCAGCAGUUCACUGACCCAGAGCCUGAGGGCCACAACUGCUAUGAGGGCUGGGAGGAGGACCUGCUGCCUGAGGAGAGGGAGGUUCCUCUGCUAAACCUCUACCUUACCACCAAGAGAGUGGAGGACAUCGCCCUGAGGCUCGUCUCCUUGCGCCAGGCCUUCACUGUGCGUGGACCCACUGUUCUUUUUGUCUCUGACUUCUUGUUCUGUCUCCAAGAGGAAGAUGUCUCACCCUAACUCUUCCCUCUUCCCUAGACCCUGCUUGGUUCCACCCUGAGCAGGAACCAUCUGUUUGUGGCGGGAAAGGUCCUCCUGGGCGGCCUUGUUCAGGCCAACCACAUGGUAACUCACUAACUCAUUCUCUUUCAAGGGAAAGAGAGCGUCCCUGAGGGGAAAUGUGUUCUGUUCACUAAGAUGCUCUUUUCUUUGUCAUAGGACGAGGCCAAAUUCAUCAGUACCUAUAAUGACUUUGGACUACCUGAGUGACCCCUCCAAGCGGAAUGACAUUGAGAGGGAGCUGGCUGAGGCAAAGAUCCAUCAUGUGAACAUGAUAGAUGUCCUCUUUGAGCUGGUGCUGUUUGGGAUGAUGACAGCUCAGAAGUCCCUGAUGGUGCACCCUGGUGGGUUCGUGGAGCGUCUGUAUGCUCUCCUGUACUCCUUCCUGCCCACUGCUGCCAACAUGGAGCCAGAGGCUGAUAGAAUCCUACUGCUGCUCAAUGAUUCUUGUGACACUUUGCCACCCAACAGGGAUCUAGACACCAAUGCACUACAUUACUUUGCACUGAAUUUGACAUUUUAAAAUAAAAUAAGUUGUAGUUCAAA
rnacentral:lncRNA from 1 species